CAACAUAUCAAGAACAUCACCGUGCAAUAGUACUCACCGUACGUAUUCCGGUGAUCAGAAUCCUUGGACGCCAAGCGUGGUCAAAUACUAGUGAUACUUCUCUGGAAUCAAACUACAGCAAAUGAAAGGUCAACUACCCCAAUUCAAUCCCAAACAUGGGACUAAUAUUUCAGAAAAUUAUUGCCCAAUAGUACAAAUGAUUAGA